CUUCCCAUCAGCCCUUGAGGCUGCAGGGACCAGCCCUUUGUGGAGAAGCCCAGGCGGCCUAGAAUCCAGUGUCGUCCGUGAGUGCUUGGCUGGUGUUCAAGUGCAUCUUCCAGCCUGAGACCGCGUGGACUCGCUCAUCGUGAGGGCGAGAGGAGGAUAAGCCCAUUGGGCUGUCGGCUGAGAGUGAGACCAUCCACAAUAUUGUUUGAACAUCUGAAGACAUGGGGAACUUGCCAUCUGAUAUCUGAUAACAGACUUCCUGUAAAGCAGGACUGGUAGUUUCCUGAUAACAAAUUCUUCAAUAUGAAGGAUAUAGCUGUGUCCUUUACAACUGGUAGCAUGGAAAGAAAGAGAAGUCUGCAAAGAUUGAACAAACAGCAUGCACUGUGAAAAAUAUUUUCCUAAGGAAGCCAGAGUCAUCCAUGAGCAGGGACCUGUCUUCAGAAUCGAAGAAGCAUAAUGUCCUUAAUGCUUACACUCAUGACAAGUUGAGAGUCAGCAAAACUGGCAGGUGGAAGGGGAAAGAGAA
rnacentral:lncRNA from 1 species